rnacentral:rRNA from 1 species
AUUGAACGCUGGCGGCAGGCCUAACACAUGCAAGUCGAGCGGAUGAAGGGAGCUUGCUCCUGGAUUCAGCGGCGGACGGGUGAGUAAUGCCUAGGAAUCUGCCUGGUAGUGGGGGAUAACGUCCGGAAACGGGCGCUAAUACCGCAUACGUCCUGAGGGAGAAAGUGGGGGAUCUUCGGACCUCACGCUAUCAGAUGAGCCUAGGUCGGAUUAGCUAGUUGGUGGGGUAAAGGCCUACCAAGGCGACGAUCCGUAACUGGUCUGAGAGGAUGAUCAGUCACACUGAACCUGAGACCCGGUCCAGCCUCCUCCGGGAGGCAGCGGUGGGAAAUUUUGGCCAAUGGGCGAAAGCCUGAUCCAGCAUGCCGCGUGUGUGAAGAAGGUCUUCGGAUUGUAAAGCACUUUAAGUUGGGAGGAAGGGCAGUAAGUUAAUACCUUGCUGUUUUGACGUUACCAACAGAAUAAGCACCGGCUAACUUCGUG